CAUGGAGGGUGAGAAUCCCGUCCGGCUGACCUUCAGGACGUUUUACGAUACGCUCUCAAAGAGUCGAGUUGUUUGGGAUUGCAGCUCAAAAUGGGAGGUAAAUUUCUCCUAAGGCUAAAUACCGGCGAGAGACCGAUAGCGAACAAGUACCGUGAGGGAAAGAUGAAAAGAAUUUUGAAAAGAAAGUCAAACAGUACGUGAAAUUGUUGAAAGGGAAACGAUUGAAGCCAGUCGUACCGACGGGAAUUCAACUUCUCGAGUGCUAAUCGUGGGUGACGUUGAGCCUCACGGCCUUCGUUGCUUGUGUUGUUGGUGCUUUUGGGGUGUACUUUCCCGUAUUUGGUAGGUCAGCAUCGAUUUCGAUCGUCAUAAAAUGAUCGGGGGAAUGUAGCUUCGGUCUCGUAUCGGAGUGUUAUAGACCUUGGUAGAUGUGACGAUUGGGAUCGAGGAUUGCAACGAAUACCCUCUGGGCUAUCCGUCUGACCUCUGAAAGUCGCUCGGGUGUCGAAAGCGUGCUUAUGGCUAUUCGAGUUGGCGGUCAAUAGGUUAGAACGUGAUUAUAUUCGUUAAGGAUGUUGACGUAAUGG
rnacentral:rRNA from 1 species